rnacentral:rRNA from 1 species
GUGUCAGCCGCCGCGGUAAUACGGGGGGAGCGAGCGUUGUUCGGAAUCACUGGGCGUAAAGGGCGCGUAGGCGGUUGGAUAAGUCAGGGGUGAAAUGCCAGGGCUUAACCUUGGAAUUGCCUUUGAUACUGUCUGGCUAGAGGACGGAAGAGGAUAGUGGAAUUCCUGGUGUAGCGGUGAAAUGCGUAGAUAUCAGGAAGAACACCGGUGGCGAAGGCGGCUAUCUGGUCCGUUACUGACGCUGAUGCGCGAAAGCCAGGGGAGCAAACGGGAUUAGAAACCCCUGUAGUCC